rnacentral:rRNA from 1 species
AGUCGAACGGCAGCACGGAGCUUGCUCUGGUGGCGAGUGGCGAACGGGUGAGUAAUAUAUCGGAACGUACCCUAGAGUGGGGGAUAACGUAGCGAAAGUUACGCUAAUACCGCAUACGAUCUAAGGAUGAAAGUGGGGGAUCGCAAGACCUCAUGCUCGUGGAGCGGCCGAUAUCUGAUUAGCUAGUUGGUAGGGUAAAAGCCUACCAAGGCAUCGAUCAGUAGCUGGUCUGAGAGGACGACCAGCCACACUGGAACUGAGACACGGUCCAGACUCCUACGGGAGGCAGCAGUGGGGAAUUUUGGACAAUGGGCGAAAGCCUGAUCCAGCAAUGCCGCGUGAGUGAAGAAGGCCUUCGGGUUGUAAAGCUCUUUUGUCAGGGAAGAAACGGUGAGAGCUAAUAUCUUUUGCUAAUGACGGUACCUGAAGAAUAAGCACCGGCUAACUACGUGCCAGCAGCCGCGGUAAUACGUAGGGUGCAAGCGUUAAUCGGAAUUACUGGGCGUAAAGCGUGCGCAGGCGGUUUUGUAAGUCUGAUGUGAAAUCCCCGGGCUCAACCUGGGAAUUGCAUUGGAGACUGCAAGGCUAGAAUCUGGCAGAGGGGGGUAGAAUUCCACGUGUAGCAGUGAAAUGCGUAGAUAUGUGGAGGAACACCGAUGGCGAAGGCAGCCCCCUGGGUCAAGAUUGACGCUCAUGCACGAAAGCGUGGGGAGCAAACAGGAUUAGAUACCCUGGUAGUCCACGCCCUAAACGAUGUCUACUAGUUGUCGGGUCUUAAUUGACUUGGUAACGCAGCUAACGCGUGAAGUAGACCGCCUGGGGAGUACGGUCGCAAGAUUAAA